CCUCACUUCCUCCUAAGGAAAAUGAGAUUUUGCUCAUUCAUUCAUUUUACUGAUUUUGCAGUCCGGGCUCUUUUGCUUUUCAGUCAUUGUGCGCGUGUGCGCGUGCGCGCGUGCGCACGUGCAUGUGUGAGUUUUUUGUUGCCAUGACUGCGGCAAUUUAUAGAAGAAAAAGUUUGUUUGCACUUAAGGUUCAAGGGUUAGAGUUCAUGACGACAAAGCAGAGGCCUGGCAGCUGGCAGCUGAAGCUGAGGGCUCAGUGGGAAUGGCCAAGGCUUUGAAAUCUCAGAGUCCAUCCUUACACCCCCAACUCCCGACCCCACCCCGUACUUCUUUCAUCAAGGCUACACCUCCUAAGCUUCCUCAGCAGGAGACCAAGCACUCAGACGUCUGUGCCUGUGUGGGACAUUCUCAUUCAGACCUCCACAGUUUGUCUGUGUGACUCGGGAGCCAGCACAGUGUGGGUCUAUCUACUGAACUCAGGCUUAGGGAGGAGAGCUGUACCUGCUGAGCCAUCUCGCUGCCAUCUCCGUAGUUCUGAUAGAGAGAGAGAGCGCGACCUUCACACAAAGACAAACCGCUUCUAAAGCCUGGAGAAGAGUGCCCAGCACAAAGCGAUUCUUCAGGAAAACUCUGCUGUUAAAUUGUAUACGAGUUCUAAUUGCUAGCACUGCACUGCACUAAUGAUAAAAGAACCGUAGCAGCCCUUGGUGCUGAAAGGAAGGUGACCCACAAUUACCCUCAGUGAGUUUCAUUAGCAAUGAAAAGGGCUCAAGGUCAUGGUUGGGCCUCUAAAUGGGCAGAAGAAAAAUCACACAGGAAAAAAAAUAAUAUAAGGCAUUUUAACAUGAUGGAGCUUAUGUUUAAGAGAAAGAGGAUGUUUCCAUUUAAACCUGAAGCGGGGGUUUAUUUAAAGAGAAACAGGGACAGGGACAAAGGUGAUUGUGCUGAUGAGAGAUAACAGGACAGCUUUCAGGGCACCUCCAGAGCAACCCCCACCCCAGGAGUCUCCAGUCCCGUUUCCCCAAACAAAGGAGAAUUUUGGCUUUUUAUAACCUUAGGGGAGUAGCAGAAGGUUUCCGUUCUGUAUGGCCUAUGUAACAGAGCCCUCAGAGGAGAUGGGGAUCAAAUUGUGAAGCCUGUCACGUCACAAUACAAACUGUUUUUUAACUCUCUGUCCCAGGACGCGUGGGGGGUGGGGAGGGGCAUAGAGCUGUAGCCUAAUUUAGGCUAUAGGAUCUGACUAGUGGGCCAAGAAAGACACAAUGCUAUCAAGAGAAGGGGGGAAGAGGAAGAGAGAGGGGGAAAGGUGGUGGCUGAAAGAGAAAGGGGAAAAAGAGAUAGAGGGAGAGGGCAUUCCCCUUAUUUAUAGGGAAAAUGAUGUAACACAGGUAAAAGUGGGAGGUGAGCCAAGUAGAUUCUGGGAAUAGGUGCCUGUUGCCUUGGCAACGGGUCUGCGGGUCGCACUGUCGCCUGUGUGACGUCAUAGGUUUGGGAGGUCGUGAUGCCAACAGCAUAAGCAUGCAGCAGUGAAUCCUUCAUUUGUCCAGACCCAGUCUCCAGGGCCACAGCUUCCUACACAGACAUCGCCCUGCCCAUCCGAUGGGGUUGUUAGCAUCUUUCUCUCCUCUUGAGGAAACACAACCGCUUGGGACUCAGUUCCUUUUUCAGAUUUAUGUCUUUCAGUCAAAGGCUAAAUGCUACAGCGACUCUUAGAGAGGACAACAUUUAACUGGGGCUGGCUCACAGUUCAGAGGUUCAGUCCGUUGUCGUGACAGAACGCAUGGUCGCAUGCAGGAGACGGUGCUAGAGAGGCAGCUGUCAGCUUUGGAUCUGGAUUUGCAGAACGCAGCCACACAUCCUAAUAGUGCCACUCCCUAUGGAUCAACAUGGGCAUUCUCAUCAAACCACCAUGGUUCAGAGGUUCAUCAUCAAGGCAGGAACAUGGCAGCAUCCAGGCAGGCAUGGUACAGGAGGAGCUGAGAGUUCUACAUCAUCAUCUGAAGGCCUCUAGGAGAAGACUGGCUCCCACGAGAGCCAUCAAGAUGACUAAAGGUGUUUCCUGAUAAGCCUGACAGCCUUGGUUGGAUCUCAGGACUCACAUGGUAGAAGGAGAGAACUGAUCUUUGCAAACUGCCUACUAACCUCCACAUGUGGUGCACACAUGCAUAAAUUCAUAAAUAAAUUAAAUGAAAAACAAAAGUCAACUGAAAAGUAACUCAAGAAUAAACCUGCCAUCUUCUGUCUUUCAACUUGUCACAGUGUUUCCAUUUGCUGUGUGAUGUCAUUUCAAGUAAAGGGAGAGUAAAAUUUCAAGCUAUUAGUGUAAAAUUUACCGUUUAUCUUUAUGUCAUACAUCAGUUUCAGAUGCAAAUACUAACUCAAGCAGAACCAAUAAGAUUAAGCGACUCAUAUUCCAUAGUUUGUAUAUGCGUGUGUAUUUCACAAUUAAUACAGACAGUAGGAGUUGCAAAAAGCCUAUUCUGGUGUUUUUAUUUUAAAUCUUGGUUUAUGGCAUCAGACUCACCCUUUAACUGAUAUAUAAGGACUCAAAGGAGCAGGAAAGGUUCCUGCCUCUUCUUCCCUUUGUCUAUCUCCAGCAUACCUGGUUAGCUGAUACAGGAAAGAGCUGGACUAGUAGGUAAAGGCUCCUGCAAGCCUGACUGAUGGCCUGAAUUUGAUCCCUGAGACUCACAUGGUAGAAGGAGAGAACCAAUGCUUGCAAGUUGUCCUCUGACCUCCACACAUGCCACAUAGCACACACUCCCCCACCCCUCCUCACCCACCGCCACACAAGUAAAUAAAUAAAUUUUAAUUUAAAAGAAAAUACAUGGAGUAGUCUCUCCCCACACCCAUCUUCCCUGCUUACUGAGUCCUCUGGGGCACCCUCAGCAUCCCUCAGCCUCCUGCUAUCUCCAUCAGACAUUGAUUAUCCUGCCACCUCUCUGCCCACCUUCAUCAGACCUGAAACCAUUCAGCCCAAGGAUACCCAUCAGAGGUCUUCCACACAAGGAUCACUGAGGUUAGGCCCCCUCCCAAUACCUUCCUCAAAAGGAAUAUCCAGGGACUAAAGCCAUUCAGAUAGCUAAAGGCCUUCAAAAGAACAGAAUUAACAAAAAAAACAGGCAAUAUGACGCCUUCAGAACUCAGCUCCUACAGCAAGCCCUAGAUAUCCUAACACAACCAAUGCACAAGAAAAGUAUCUUACAUCCAAUCUUAUAAAGAUGAUAGAAGCCUUUAAAGAGGAACAAAUUCCUUAAAGCAAUACAGGAAGAUAAAAUUGAUCAGGUAGAGGCCUUUAAAGAAGAAACAAUUAAAUCCCUUAAAGCAAUACAGGAAAAUACAAUUAACCGUGCAAGACCUGAAACUGAAAAUAGAAACAAUAAAGAAAACACAAACUGAGGGAAUUCUUGAGAUGGAAAACCUAGGGAAGAGAACAGGAGUCACCAACAACAUACAAGAGAUGAGGAGAGAGUGUCAGGAACAAAAGAUACAAUAGAAGAAAUUGAUACAUCAGUGAAAGAAAACAUUAAAUCUAAGGCAAUCCUGACAUCAUAAAACAUCCAGGAAAUCUGGGAUACCAUGAAAAGACCUAACCUAAGAAUAACAGGAAUAGAAGAGGAUGAAAAGUCCCAGAAAAUAUUCUCAACAAAAUCAUAGAAGAAAACAUUCCCAACAUAAAGAAAAUGAUAUCUAUAAACAUUGAAGAAGUUUAUAGAACAAUUAGACUGGACGAGAAAAGAAAAUCCUCCUCCUGCCACAUAAUAAUCAAAGCACAAAAUCUACAGAACAAAGAAUAUUAAAAGUGG
rnacentral:lncRNA from 1 species